UUGAGUUUAGAAGUUUCUUUUCCACACCUUAUUUUUUUGGGUUUCUGCUACUGCAUUCAAUGGGGCUAGCUGUCAUGACUUUCUUAUAUCAAUUUCUUGCUCCUUUAGGCUACAUCUAUUUACUUGAUUCAAUAAAAAGUUUGUGCUUCCUCUUUAAAAUCCUUCAAGAACAACUUUGUUUAACUUUUUUCACUCAAUAAUGCUUUCAUUGCAUGACCAUUUUAAGACAUGGUAGUUUUCAUUCUUAACUUAUCUGAUCUAGAGUUUCCAUAGCACUUUUAUUUUCUCAUGUCACUUCAUUUAGUAACUCUAGUUUACAAACUAUGUACUAAUAUUGCUAGACUUUUAUACAUGGUCUAAGCAGCAAACAUAGUACCACUUUUGGAAAAGUUGCUCUAGGUGAAGACGUGAAUCUUGGCUGCUAAAUAAUCUCCAUAAGAUAUUUGCUCCCUCCAAUGUGGCAGACUGCUGUUAAACCCAUAUUGCGUAUUUAUAUCAGCUAUAAAGGAAAGAGCCAAACAAAAGAAAAAAGAAUAAAAAGGGCCUCCAAAGAAAAGGUGGCUCUUCAGGUGUCACAGUCCAUAAGAAUCUUGUAAUGGUUGGAUAAGCUUAUAGUAGAGGCUAUUACCAAUUUGAAGGAACCGAGGGGUUCUGACAGGGCUGCAAUUGCUUUGUACGUAGAGAUGAUGGAAUUUCAUGUAGCAAGAGUACCAAACGUGCAUUGGGUCCAUCAUUGUAUUGGUGCAGCUCCAUCUUCAGCCAAUAUGUCUAUAACUGUAAAUAUGGCUAGGGUUGUAAAUGUGGGAAAUGGGAGAUUGAUAUGUGAGUUGUGUUUGCUAUUUUUGGGAUCAUUUUGUUAAAAGUUCAUAGAUUUUUCGAAAUUUUGGGACUGAAGUGAGAGAAGUAAAAGACCACCAAAAGAAUUACAUAUAGUGACUUCAAUUGCCAAGUUAAAUAUGUAUUUCAGAUGUCCUUGCGACUGUCAUUUUAACCAAUGGAAGAGUAAAUGAAGAAAAUAAUCAUUUUCAA